UGAGUAACCUGCCCUUAACUCUGGGAUAAGCCUGGGAAACUGGGUCUAAUACCGGAUAUGACUCCUCAUCGCAUGGUGGGGGGUGGAAAGCUUUUUGUGGUUUUGGAUGGACUCGCUGCCUAUCAGCUUGUUGGUGAGGUAAUGGCUCACCAAGGCGAUGACGGGUAGCCGGCCUGAGAGGGUGACCGGCCACACUGGACUGAGACACGGCCCAGACCUCCGUACGGGAGCAG
rnacentral:rRNA from 1 species